rfam:Gossypium raimondii Chr05_contig_791, whole genome shotgun sequence.
CCCACUAAGUUUAAGCAUAUUAAUAAGUGAAGGAAAGGAAGCUUACCAGGAUUCCCAAAAUAACAGCGAACGAACCGAGAAAAGCCUAGCUUGAGAAUCAGGCACCCGAAUUGUAAUCUGAAAAAGUGUCUUUAGCGGCAGACCAGGCCUAAGUCCCUUUGAAAGGGUCAUCGAAGAGAGUGAGAGCCCCAUUAUGCCUGGAGACUGUCCCACUUUUGAUACGCCCGUCAAGAUGUCAUCUCCUAGAUUGUGGGAUCUGACAUGUGCCGUCUCAAUGUGCUUCGGCAUCUGCGUGCUCCGGACAUUGGCUUGUGGGCUCCCCAUUCAGCCUGUCUUGAAGCAUAGAUCGAGGAGUUUGACAUGUGUGCAAGUCAAUGGGCUAGAAAACCUGUAAGAUGCAAGAAAGCUGAUUAGCGAGAUCCCUCGUAGUUGCACCGCCAACCGACCUUGGUCUUCUGAGAAGGGUUCGACUGAGAGCAUGGCUGUCGGGACCCGAAAGAUGCUAAACUAUGCUUGUGUGGGGUGAAGCCAGAGGAAACUCUGAUGGAGGCCUGUAGCGAUACAGACAUGUAAAUCAUUCAUCUGACUUGGUUAUAGGGGUGAAAGACUAAUCGAAUCAUCUAGUAGCUAGUUCUCUUCGAAGUUUCCCUCAGGAUAGUUGGAGCCCUUAGCAAGUUCUAUCGGAUAAAGCCAAUGAUUCGAGGAAUCGGGGGCACAAUGCCUCCGACCUCUUCUCAAACUUUAAAUAGGUAAGACGGCGCGACUGCUUCAUUGAGCCACGUCACGAAAUUGAGAGCUCUAUGUAGGUAACUUUUUGCAAGCAGAAUUGACGAUACGGGAUGAAUUGAAAGUUGAGUUAUGGUGCCCAACUGCGCGCUAACCUAGAACCCACAAAAGGUAUUGGUCGAUUAAGAAGUAGGACAAUAGUUAUGGAAGUCGAAAUUUGCUAAAGAGUGUGUAACAACUCACCUGCCGAAUCAAUUAGCCCUAAAAAUGGAUGGCACUUAAGCGCGUGACCUAUACCUAGCUGUUGAGGUAAGGGCCAGGCCCUAAUGAGUGGGAGGGCACGGCGGUCGUUGCAAAACCCGAGGCGUGAGCUCGGGCGGAGCGAUCGUCUGUGCAGAUCAUGAUGGUAGUAGCAAAUAUUCAAAUGAGAACUUUGAAGGCCAAUGAGGGGAAAGGCUUCAUCUGAACGACACUUGCAAUGGGUUAGUCGAUGCUAAAAGACGGGGGAAGCUCGUUCGGUAGCGCGUCCAGUGGGAGCUUUGAAAGGGAAUCGGGUUAAAAUUCUUGAACUGGGACGCGAUGGCUGAUGAAAAUGUUAGGGAGUCUGGAGACAUCGGCAAGGGCCUCGGGAAGAGUUAUCCUUUCUAUUUAAUGGACUGCCCAUCCUAGAAACGGCUUAGCGGGAGGUAGGGUCUAGCGGCCGAAAGAGCACUGUACGUCGCGUGGUCUUCGGUGUGCCCCUGGUGGCCGUUGAAAAUCUAGAGGACCGGGUGCCGUCAGCGCCCAGUCGUACUCAUAACUUCAUCAGGUCUCUACGGUGAACAACCUCUAGUC